AUGCCAAUGACGAUAUCGCUUAACAAUAUACCAUCUUUCGGGACUGAAUGGCUUUUUCUAAGCCUUGCUGUUAAUCCGCAAUUCCGAGGCAU